rnacentral:rRNA from 1 species
UUACCACCUUGACAUGAAAGAGAUUCCUUCGAGCACAGGUGCUGCAUGGCUGUCGUCAGCUCGUGUUGUGAAAUGUUGGGUUAAGUCCCGCAACGAGCGCAACCCUAUCUUGUUUGCCAGCAUAUGGGACUCCAGGAGACUGCCGGUGAUAACCGGAGGAAGGUGGGGACGACGUCAAGUCAUCAUGGCCCUUACGGUGGGCUACACACGUGCUACAAUGGCAUACAAGGGGCAUAGCGAUAUAAGCAAUCCCAAAAUGGUCGUAGUCCGGAUCGGAGUCUGCAACUCGACUCCGUGAAGUCGGAAUCGCUAGUAAUCGUAAUCAGAAUGUACGGUGAAUACGUUCCCGGGCCUUGUACACACCGCCCGUCACACCAUGGGAGUGGGUGAAAGAA